rnacentral:rRNA from 1 species
GACGGAGGAUGCAAGUGUUAUCCAGAAUCACUGGGCGUAAAGCGUCUGUAGGUCGUAUAACAAGUCUACUGUUAAAAAUCGAAGCUUAACUUCAAAGAUGCCGUAGAAACUUUUAAACUUGAGUAUGGUAGGGGUAGAGGGAAUUUCCAGUGGAGCGGUGAAAUGCGUAGAUAUUGGAAAGACAACCAAUGGCGAAGGCACUCUACUGGGCCAUUACUGACACUGAGAGACGAAAGCUAGGGGAGCAAAUGGG